UCUAUCUAUCUAUCUAUCUAUCUUUCUAAUUGUUUUAGGAGAUGGAGAGUAGUGGAUCAGAGUCUCAGAGUAAUCAGUCUGAGUCAUCAGUGUGCUUUGAUACCGACCCACUGAUGUGCAUCCUGUCAAAACAUAUGCCCCUCUGUGCCCAGCCUUUGAUAUGAUAUUAUCAAAUUGAACAAGCAAGAGCAGAACAGAAAGCAACUAAAAGGCAGAUAUUAUGGCUUGUUCCGGCAGUUCAGGAACAGUUGGGGCAGAUGAGGAGCCCAGCGAACUUCAGGAGAUGGAGAGUAGUGGAUCAGAGUCUCAGAGUAAUCAGUCUGAGUCAUCAGUGUGCUUUGAUACCGACCCACUGAUGUGCAUCCUGUCAAAACAUAUGCCCCUCUGUGCCCAGCCUUUGAUAUGAUAUUAUCAAAUUGAACAAGCAAGAGCAGAACAGAAAGCAACUAAAAGGCAGAUAUUAUGGCUCGUUCCGGCAGUUCAGGAACAGUUGGGGCAGAUGAGGAGCCCAGCGAACUUCAGGAGAUGGAGAGUAGUGGAUCAGAGUCUCAGAGUAAUCAGUCUGAGUCAUCAGUGUACUUUGAUACCGACCCACUGGUGAGUAUAUACCAUAAAU